rnacentral:rRNA from 1 species
GCCUGCGUGAAGUUGGAAUCGCUAGUAAUCGCGGAUCAGCAUGCCGCGGUGAAUACGUUCCCGGGCCUUGUACACACCGCCCGUCACACCAUGAGAGUCGGGAACACCCGAAGUCCGUAGCCUAACCGCAAGGGGGCGCGGCCGAAGGUGGGUUCGAUAAUUGGGGUGAAGUCGUAACAAGGUAAC